AUGCAAGUGUUGAGGAGUGCUAGGUCUACAACCCGCUUUUAGAGUACAACUGUUGUUUGACAUGAUAUCAGAGUAAGAGGUUAUGAGUUUGAGUUACUCUAACAACUUAAACUUUUAGAGUACAACGACAAUUUCACAUGAUAUCAGAGUAAGAGGUUCUGAAGAGUACAACGGCAAUUUCACAUGAUAUCCGAGUAAGCGGUUCUGAAUUUGAGUUACUUUAACAACUUAAGCUUUUAGAGUAUAACGGCUAUUUCACAUGAUAUCAGAGUAAGAAGUUAUGAGUUUGAGUUACGCCAGACUCCUAGCAUUAUUAAUUUCCUCACGUUUAAUUCAAGUCCACAUUGUAGGCCUUGCAAAAAUUCUCUUACCCAAACGUUAGGGGGAGUGUUAAAUAUAAAAAUAUAUAAAUACUAUUCUCUAACAUCUUAAACUUUUAAAGUAUAACAGUUAAACGUUGU
rnacentral:lncRNA from 1 species